AAUCAACGCUGGCGGCGUGCCUAACACAUGCAAGUCGAACGCGAAAGCCCCUUCGGGGGUAAGUAGAGUGACGUCCGGGUGAGUAACACGUAGGUAAUCUACCUUCGGGUGGGGAAUAACCAGUCGAAAGAUUGGCUAAUACCGCAUAAUGCAGCGGCACCUAAUGGUGAUUAGUUGUUAAAGCGGGGGAUCGUAAGACCUCGCGCCUGAAGAGGAGCCUGCGGCAGAUUAGCUAGUUGGNGAGGUAAUGGCUCACCAAGGCUUCGAUCUGUAGCUGGUCUGAGAGGACGGCCAGCCACACUGGCACUGACACACGGGCCAGACUCCUACGGGAGGCAGCAGUGGGAAUUUUGGGCAAUGGGCGAAAGCCUGACCCAGCAACGCCGCGUGAGGGAGGAAAUCCUUCGGGA
rnacentral:rRNA from 1 species